rnacentral:misc_RNA from 1 species
UUCCCACCCUGAGCCACCUCUUCUGUCCUAGUUGAUCCUCUUGUCUCUCUCUCUCACAAAUUUGAUGCAUGAUGGUAGAGAAACAUAGAAUGUUACUUUUGAAGAUUUACUUGAAGAAUGCUUUUUAGUGAUGCUUUGAGGAAAUUGACAAGAGUUAGCAUAAGAACAUUUUGUUUCAUGCUUUAGAGAUUAUAACUGCUUGUGAAACCAACUUUAUGGCUUAAAUCUG